rnacentral:rRNA from 1 species
AGAGCACUCCUACGGGAGGCAGCAGGUGGGAAUAUUGGGACAAUGGGGAAACCCUGAUCCAGCCAUGCCGCGUGUGUGAAGAAGGCCUUCGGGUUGUAAAGCACUUUCAGUGGGGAGGAAAGGUUGAUGGUUAAUACCUAUCAGCUGUGACGUUACCCACAGAAGAAGCACCGGCUAACUCCGUGCCAGCAGCCGCGGUAAUACGGAGGGUGCAAGCGUUAAUCGGAAUUACUGGGCGUAAAGCGUGCGCAGGCGGUCUGUUAAGCGAGAUGUGAAAGCCCGGGCUCAACCUGGGAACUGCAUUUCGAACUGGCAGACUAGAGUCUUGUAGAGGGGGUAGAAUUUCAGGUGUAGCGGUGAAAUGCGUAGAGAUCUGAAGGAAUACCGGUGGCGAAGGCGACCACCUGGCCAAUAACUGACACUGAGACGCGAAGGCGUGGGUAGCAAACAGGAUUAGAUACCCUGGUAG